rnacentral:rRNA from 2 species
UGGGGAAUAUUGGGCAAUGGGCGAAAGCCUGACCCAGCAAUGCCGCGUGAAGGAAGAAGGCCUUCGGGUUGUAAACUUCUUUUACCGAGGACGAAGAAAUGACGGUACUCGGCGAAUAAGCUCCGGCUAACUACGUGCCAGCAGCCGCGGUAAUACGUAGGGAGCAAGCGUUAUCCGGAUUUACUGGGUGUAAAGGGCGCGUAGGCGGGAUGGCAAGUCAGAUGUGAAAUCUCAGGGCUCAACCCUGAAACUGCAUUUGAAACUGUCGUUCUUGAGUACUGGAGAGGUUGACGGAAUUCCUAGUGUAGCGGUGAAAUGCGUAGAUAUUAGGAGGAACACCAGUGGCGAAGGCGGUCAACUGGACAGAAACUGACGCUGAGGCGCGAAAGCGUGGGGAGCAAACAGG